CAUUGCACUUGUCUCAGUCUGC
rnacentral:miRNA from 1 species